AACGAACGCUGGCGGCAGGCUUAACACAUGCAAGUCGAACGGUUGUAGCAAAACAGCAGUGGCAGACGGGUGAGUAACACGUGGGAACCUUCCUAGAGGUACGGAACAACGCAGGGAAACUUGCGCUCAUACCGUAUACGCCCUUGCGCGGAAAGAUCUAUCGACUUUAGACGGGCCAGGGACGGAUUAGCUAGUUGGUUAGGUAACGGUUCACCAAGGUGCCGAACUGUAGCGGAUCUGAGAGGAUGAUCAGCCACACGGGGACUGAGACACGGCCCAGACUCCUACGGGAGGCAGCAGUGGGGAAUCGUGGACAAUGGGCGCAAGCCUGAUCCAGCCAUGCCGCGUGAGUGAAGAAGGCCUUCGGGUUGUAAAGCUCUUUUGUCAGGGACGAUAAUGACGGUACCUGAAGAAUAAGCCCCGGCUAACUUCGUGCCAGCCGCCGCCGUAA
rnacentral:rRNA from 1 species